GCGCUGGGUGAGGCUGUCAUGUGAGGGAGAGCUCAACAUGGCUUCCUGUGUGUCAGUGGGAGGCGAGGCCAUUGGGAAAGGCAGAGAUAUACGUGUGGUGAAGAUUAAGGAAGCCUCUAGGGCAGCAGUUCUCACCCUCUGUGUCCUCUACGUCUUUUGCACAGAUGACUCUUCCACGAAAGUGGACAUGAAGGACAGUUACGAUGCUGACGCCAGCACCUUGUGAGUACACGCACUAAGUGCGUCAUCAAAUGCUGGGUCUUCCGUGUCUGCUCUCUAGCUUGGCCCUGCAAGUCCUCUUAGCUACAGAGUCUGCCUCUAGGCCCUGUCAGUCCUUUCUCAUCCCUCUGUCAGCUCUGGCUCGGCCUUCUGCCCUAGCUCUCCCUCCCUUUGCCCAUUUGAGAGUCACUCAGGUUGGCUGGCUCCUGAGAUCUCCUUUAUCUCCAUGUGUGGCUUAUGCACAAGCAGUCCUCCUUAGUCGGUGUUCGUGCUUGUAUUUGUGAGCAGGCCUGU
rnacentral:lncRNA from 1 species